GACGAACGCUGGCGGCGUGCCUAACACAUGCAAGUCAGGGAGAAGGAGGUAGCAAUACUUCCGGAAACCGGCGCACGGGUGAGUAACACGUAGGUAACCUACCCUUGAGCGGGGAACAACAUCGAGAAAUCGGUGCUAAUACCGCAUAAUGCAACGAGACCGCAUGGUUUUGUUGUUAAAGAUCCGCAAGGAUCACUUGAGGAUGGACCUGCGCCCGAUUAGCUAGUUGGCGGAGUAAAAGCCCACCAAGGCAACGAUCGGUAGCCGACCUGAGAGGGUGAUCGGCCACACUGGAACUGAGAUACGGUCCAGACUCCUACGGGAGGCAGCAGUGAGGAAUA
rnacentral:rRNA from 1 species